rnacentral:rRNA from 1 species
UUUAAAAGGCUGCAGUAUUUUGACUGUACAAAGGUAGCAUAAUCAUUAGUUUUUUAAUUGAAAACUUGUAUGAAUGGUUGAAUGAGAAAUUAACUUUUUUAAAAAAAUAAUUGAAUUUUACUUUUUAAUUAAAAGGUUAAAAUAAAUUUAAAAGACGAGAAGACCCUAUAGAGUUUUAUAAUUUUUAUUUAAUAUUUUAAAAAGAUAAAUUUAAAUUUUAUAAAAAAAAUUAUUUUGUUGGGGUGAUUAUAAAAUUUAAGAAACUUUUAUUUUUUUUUACAUUAAUAUAUGAUUUUAUGAACCAUUAUUUAAUGAUUAAAAAUUUAAAUUACCUUAGGGAUAACAGCGUAAUUUUUUUUACAAGUUCAUAUUAAUAAAAAAUUUUGCGACCUCGAUGUUGGAUUAAGAUUUAAUUUUAGGUGCAGCAGUUUAAAUUUUAAGUCUGUUCGACUUUUAAAUUCUU